rnacentral:rRNA from 1 species
AGAACGAACGCUGGCGGCACGCCUAACACAUGCAAGUCGAGCGAGACCUUCGGGUUUAGCGGCGGACGGGUUAGUAACGCGUGGGAACGUACCCUUUUCUACGGAAUAGCCUCGGGAAACUGGGAGUAAUACCGUAUACGCCCUUUUGGGGAAAGAUUUAUCGGAGAAGGAUCGGCCCGCGUCUGAUUAGAUAGUUGGUGGGGUAAUGGCCUACCAAGUCUGCGAUCAGUAGCUGGUUUGAGAGGAUGAUCAGCAACACUGGGACUGAGACACGGCCCAGACUCCUACGGGAGGCAGCAGUGGGGAAUCUUAGACAAUGGGCGCAAGCCUGAUCUAGCGAUGCCGCGUGAGUGACGAAGGCCUUAGGGUCGUAAAGCUCUUCGCCAGGGAUGAUAAUGAACAGUACCUGGUAAAGAAACCCCGGCUAAACUCCGUGCCAGCAGCCG